GAAGAGCUACACGGCAAGUCAAGGAAGAGAAGAAAAAACUGGCUUUUAAAAUGAGAAGAGGUGAGAUUACGAGAAUAAAUGAGAGGGCCAAAACAAGGAUGAGCUGAAGCAAAGUUACUGCCCCCCAAGAAAAAGAAAGCUAAGGAAGAAGCCAUAGCCCGGAACCAUAAGAAGGAAAAGAGGAGAGGAAAGCUUUAUCUGUUAACAAAAUCUAAUAAAAGUUCAAAAAAACGGCUGAGUCCAAAAACUUCGGAACUUGAAGCUCCAUAAAGCAAGCCAUAGAAGAGCCAACAUAAAAGACAAACAAGGGUCAAAGUCCUGCUGUAAUUCACGUGUAUCAAACAGAAUAUCGAGGAGUAUACAUAUAAUAGUAAUUUCCUUUUCCAAUCGAAUUUCUCUUCCUUGCAUGCAUGAAAAUCCAUGCUUUACUUUUCCUUGUUAUAAAUAGAUAUGUCCUUGUAACUAGUUGUAGCCGCCCACAACAAAGAAAUGGAGAAACCUAAACUCCGGUUUGCCUGCUUCAUAGCUCUUCUCAUUAUUGUUUUCGCCAUGACAGAAGCCGAAGCAUUGGCCGACGGUACCAAGGGACAUCCAUGCAGUAAACAUAAGGACUGUGCAGAUGCCUGUAGUUAUCGAGGCCGGUGUCCGUUCCUUUGCGAGUCCGGAUCCUGCGUUUGCGACUGUCCGCCGCCGUAGUAUUGAGCGGACGGCCUCCUAGCUAUACAUCUCUUCAAACAUGAUUAUUAAUUGUAGCAGCUAGGCAGAAGCUUAUUCCCUUAGCAUAUUAUUGUGUUUUGUUUGAAGUAAUAGUUUGGUGAUAAAUGUUUUACCUUGUAGGGAUUACUUAAUAAAGUCGUUUUUCUUUAGGCAGCCUCGAAGAAAAAAAAAAGGAAAAUAAGAAUUUUUUUGAGCUGUUGGAUUGUUAGAGCUUUUGAUUUUGGGUGUGUUUCCAUUAGUAAAAUUUAAUUUGCUUCA